rnacentral:rRNA from 1 species
AAAUAAAUUAAAACUUUCAACAACGGAUCUCUUGGCUCUGGCAUCGAUGAAGAACGCAGCGAAAUGCGAUAAGUAAUGUGAAUUGCAGAAUUCAGUGAAUCAUCGAAUCUUUGAACGCACAUUGCGCCCGCCAGUAUUCUGGCGGGCAUGCCUGUUC